CAGUCGCCGCGGUAAUACGUAGGGUGCAAGCGUUAAUCGGAAUUACUGGGCGUAAAGCGUGCGCAGGCGGUUUGUUAAGACAGAUGUGAAAUCCCCGGGCUCAACCUGGGAACUGCAUUUGUGACUGGCAAGCUAGAGUGUGGCAGAAGGGGGGUGGAAUUCCGCGUGUAGCAGUGAAAUGCGUAGAUAUGCGGAAGAACACCGGUGGCGAAGGCGGCGACCUGGUCCUUGACUGACGCUGAGGCGCGAAAGCGUGGGGAGCAAACAGGAUUAGAUACCCCGGUAGUCCCUGUCUCUUAUA
rnacentral:rRNA from 1 species